GACGAACGCUGGCGGCGUGCUUAACACAUGCAAGUCGUACGGUAAGGCCCUUUCGGGGGUACACGAGUGGCGAACGGGUGCGUAACACGUGAGUAACCUGCCCACAACUUUGGGAUAACGCUAGGAAACUGGUGCUAAUACUGGAUAUGUGCUCCUGCUGCAUGGUGGGGGUUGGAAAGCUCCGGCGGUUGUGGAUGGACUCGCGGCCUAUCAGCUUGUUGGUGGGGUAGUGGCCUACCAAGGCGGCGACGGGUAGCCGGCCUGAGAGGGUGACCGGCCACAUUGAGACUGAGAUACGGCCCAGACUCCUACGGGAGGCAGCUGUGGGGAAUAUUGCACAAGGGGCGCCAGCCGGAUGCAGCAGCGCCGCGUGCGGGAUGACGGCCUUAGGGUUGUAAACCGCUUUCAGCAGGGACGAAGCUUUUUGUGACGGUACCUGCAGAAGAAGCACCGGCUAACUACGUG
rnacentral:rRNA from 1 species